rnacentral:rRNA from 1 species
GACGUAGGGGGCGAGCGUUGUCCGGAUUUAUUGGGGCGUAAAGCGUGCGUAGGCGGCUGCGCAAGUCGGUUGUGAAACCCGGGGCUCAACCCCGGAACUGCAUCCGAUACUGCGUGGCUAGAGGUAGGUAGGGGAGAUCGGAAUUCCUGGUGUAGCGGUGAAAUGCGUAGAUAUUGGGAGGAACACCAGUGGCGAAGGCGGCUCACUGGACCGGAACUGACGCUGAGGCGCGAAAGCGUGGGGAGCAAACAGG